CGGGGCUCCGACGCCCGCAGCCCGGCUGCUACUGCCGCACCGCGGCGGCCGUGAACCUCCUGCUGGGCGUCUUCCAGGUCCUGCUGCCCUGCUGUCGCCCGGGAGGGGCUCAGGGACAAGCGAUUGAGCCGUUGCCGAACGUGGUGGAGCUGUGGCAGGCAGAAGAAGGGGAACUCCUGCUGCCCACUCAGGGUGAUUCUGAAGAGGGUCUGGAGGAGCCUUCUCAAGAACAGAGGCUGGAUUGCAGUGGCAAGAUCUUGGCUCACUGCAGCUUCCACCUCCCAGGCUCAAGCGAUCCUCCCACCUCAGCCUCCCAAGUAGCUGAAACUAGAGGCAUGCACCACUGUGCCGGGCUAAUUGUUAUAUAUUUUUUAGAGACAGGGUUUCGCCAUAUUACCCAGGCUCGUCUUGAAAUCCUGGGCUCAAACAAUUCACCUGCCUCAGCCUCCCAAAGUGCUGGGAUUACAGAUGUGAGCCACUGUGCCUAGCCCUAAAAUCGAAUUCUUUAUACGUGAAGUUUAUUUAAAAGGAAAGAAAACCCCACCAGGCUAUAUCUACAUUUGAAUGCUUGUGCAAUCAUUUCUUUAGGAUACAUUACUAGAACUGGAAUUGCUGGGUCAAAAAGUGGGCAUGCUUCAAGGCCUUUGAAAAAUAUUCUGUACUUGCCCUCCAGAAAGGUUGUUUCAGUUAUACCCUUAUGCUAAUGUCUUGAGAUUGUCAGUUUCUUACGAGCCUCCCAGCACUAGGUACCAGUACUUUUUGUUCAUCUUUUAAAUUUUAUUUAUUUAUUAUUAUUAUUCUUUUGAGACGGAGUCUUGCUCCGUCACUUAGGCUGGAGUGCAGUGGGGGCGAUCUUGGCUCACUGCAACCUCCGCAUCCCGGGUUCCAACGAUUCUCCUGCCUCAGGCUCCUGAGUAGCUGGGAUUACAGGUGCGCGCCACCAUGCCUGGCUAAUUUUUGUAUUUUUAGUAGAGAUGGGGUUUCACCGUGUUGGCCAGGCUGGUCUCAAACUCCUGACCUCAUGAUCCACCCACCUCGGCCUCCCGGAGUGCUGGGAUUACAGGCGUGAGCCACCACGCCUGGCCAGCUCAUCUUUUAAAUUUUAAUCUAAGAGGUCCAAAUUGGUAUUAUAUACUUCUUUUAGUUUGCAUGUACUUAUGAAGAUGAAGUUGGUUGAAGUUUCCUUUGUUUCCACCAUUGGACUUAUUUGCUAUGCCUGGAGAUCACUUCCUGUGCCGCCUCCAGACCUCUGCUGGGACAUCCCUUAAUCUAGGAAGCAUUUCCCACCUCUUCCCUCAACUGCACAGGCACAGACAUGUUCUC
rnacentral:lncRNA from 1 species